GUGCUUGCUUUGGCAGCACAUGUACUAAAACUGGAACAAUACAGAGAUUAGCAUGGCCCCUGCACAAGUAUGACACAUAAAUUCAUGAAGUGUUCCAUAUUUUU